UACGUAGGGAGCAAGCGUUGUCCGGAAUCAUUGGGCGUAAAGCGCGCGUAGGUGGCUUCGUAAGUCCGUUGUGAAAGUCAAAGGCUCAACCUUUGAAAGCCGAUGGAUACUGCGGAGCUAGAGUACGGAAGAGGCGAGUGGAAUUCCUGGUGUAGCGGUGGAAUGCGCAGAUAUCAGGAGGAACACCAAUAGCAAAGGCAGCUCGCUGGGACGUUACUGACACUGAGGCGCGAAAGCGUGGGGAGCAAACAGG
rnacentral:rRNA from 1 species